rnacentral:rRNA from 3 species
UACGUAUGGACCGAGCGUUGUCCGGAAUCAUUGGGCGUAAAGGGUACGUAGGCGGCCUAGUAAGUUAGAAGUGAAAUAAUAUAGCUCAACUAUAUAAAGCUUUUAAAACUGUUAGGCUUGAGAGAUGAAAGGGAAAGUGGAAUUCCUAGUGUAGCGGUGAAAUGCGCAGAUAUUAGGAAGAAUACCGGUGGCGAAGGCGACUUUCUGGUCAUCAUCUGACGCUGAGGUACGAAAGCGUGGGUAGCAAACAGG